UGCUAGUCGAGCGCCUUCCAGCCACGAAGAAGGCGCGGCACACAGCUCAGUAACACGUAGCUAACCUGCCCUCGGGACGAGAACACCCCCGGGAAACUGGGGCUAAUUCUCGAUAGGCGAAGAACUCUGGAAUGAGUCUUUACCCAAAAGACGUUUAGAUCAUGCUUCUAGGCGUCGCCCAAGGAUGGGGCUGCGGCCGAUCAGGUAGUUGGUGAGGCAAUGGCUCACCAAGCCUUUAACCGGUGCGGGCCGUGGGAGCGGGAGCCCGGAGAUGGGCACUGAGACAAGGGCCCAGGCCCUACGGGGCGCAGCAGUCGCGAAAACUUUGCAAUAAGCGAAAGCUUGACAGGGCUAUCCCGAGUGCCAUCCGCUGAGGAAGGCUUUUACCCAGUCUAGUAAGCUGGGGGAAUAAGGAGAGGGCAAGUCUGGUGUCAGCCGCCGCGGUAAUACCAGCUCUCCGAGUGGUGUGGAUGUUUAUUGGGCCUAAAGCAUCCGUAGCUGGCUGAGUUAGUCCCCUGUUAAAUCCACCGAAUCAAUCGUUGGAUUGCGGGGGAUACUGCUCGGCUAGGGGACGGGAGAGGCAGACGGUAUUUCCGGGGUAAGGGUGAAAUCUUAUAAUCCCGGGAAGACCACCAGUGGCGAAGGCUGUCUGCUAGAACGCGCCCGACGGUGAGGGAUGAAAGCUGGGGUAGCGAACCGGAUUAGAUACCCGGGUAGUCCCAGCCGUAAACGAUGCAGGCUAGGUGUUUGGGCGGCCACGUGCCGCUCUAGUGCCGCAGGGAAGCUGUUAAGCCUGCCGCCUGGGGAGUACGAUCGCAAGAUUGAAACUUAA
rnacentral:rRNA from 1 species